UACAGCAGGAAAUGGAUUUGCCGGACGACGUUUUAGCGUGUUAUCGCUUUACCCGUAUUUUAAACUUUUGAAGUUGAAAGAACCGCCUUUCCUUCUAUGCAUAUAUUUGAAUCAAGAAAGGCAGACACAGUCGCUUUCCCCUCGAGAAAACUCACUCCACCGCCCUUUCUAUAUCGUUUCUCUUUCAAUCCUUCGCGAUACAUGAUAUUUUGCAAUCAAACGGUUAUAUACUCUGGUGCGAUUGUCUAUCCAUGUUUGGCUAAUGCGAGGGUUUUCUGCAUUUUGCUGUCGAGUUUUGUCUUCAUUGAACCUUUUCAGGUCCCAUUUGGUGCCAGUUGUUUCUGAAUCGAGAUUAUGGUUUUUGGCUCACGUUUAGGGUUUAAAAUGGUUUAUUAAUUAAACAGUUAUCUUCUCUGGUUUUGGUACAAGAUAUUACAGCUUUAAUUGGGUCCUGUUAUUUGAUGCAAAUCUAUACGCUUGAGAGAAAACAUAUGGUGUUUCAUCCAGCAACCUUACAAGAGAAAGCCAAUUGAUUCUUGAGAUUGUCAGAGUUCUUCCACCCGGUAAUAACAUGCUUGAAGAAAACCAUUUGAUAGAGUCUGAUCAUGUUGUGAUGUGGUGUAUGUGUAUUGAAAUCAACUCUCUCGGGUGGGUAAUAUUUUGGAGUAAAAUCAAUUUGGUGGAAUCCUAAACCAAAUAAUCCCUUUCAAUCCAUGUAAAUCAUAUGAUAACACAACUCGGGAUUAGUCUUUUAUCAACUGAUUUAUCAAAAAUUUUGCGUAA